rnacentral:lncRNA from 13 species
UCAAGUAAUUCAGUGAAGAAUGACAGAUCUCAUGAAAGAGUUAUUAUAACACACAGGAAGGAACAAGAUCCCCCUACCAGGCUGCUAAUGUUAUACUCACCUUUUCCUCAUAGAGACUACGAAUGUGUCAUUGAUUUCUCUAUAGCUGCUGCAGACCGGUGCAGUCAUGUUCAGGAACAGCUUGAAGAUGCUGCUUGGCGGCAAGUCCAACCGCAAAAAUCGCAACAGUGGUAAUGAGGAUGCAAUGUGAAGACUUCAGGCACCUCCCAGAUUCUGUCCUCAAGCGACCAGCUGGACUACAGAUGACCUCAGUGAGGUGGUUAAAAGUCACAGGUAUUGCACAGAGAAUAGUUUACUAACAUCCCAUCGACAUGCAACAUGUUGUUCUAACAAUAAAAUAUCCUAAUGCUUGACUGUGAAAGUUGUUUAUUGAUGUCAGGAACUUAAAAUGUUUCUGUUCUAAUUUCAGUUGAGGAUCCUUGGAAUCUGUAUGCCAGACAGAGCCACAGUCUAUUUGAGGGAUGGAAGUCGUGGCUGAUCUCCAAACCAAAACAAGGAGCUACACCUCAACCUCCCUAUUUUGCAAGCCACUGCCCUAGAGCAUAUAAGAGUCCUCUGCCCAUCAAAAAAAAACAAGUACCAAGAUCUGAUGACCUGCUCAACUACUUGACAGCUGCUGCACGCUCUUUUAUGACUCACUGCAGAGUGAAUAAUUUGUUGUUAAACCAAGCUACAUAAUUAACAGUUUUUUCUGUGAGUUUAUGAUCCCCUGAACCUGUAUAGUAUAUUGAAUCUGAAUACAUUUCAGUAGACAUGUCACCCCUAUUGUAGGAAAUUAAAUGUAUAGUAAGUAGGUGUUUUCUAUGUGAAUCAAUUUGUGCAUGAUUAGGUUAUGUACAAUGUGUUCUGUUGAGAAUUAUUUUGUGUGAACCUUUUUUAAUUUGAACCUUUUUUAAAUCUGAAUGAAUUAAAAACAAAUAAGUCAUCACAUACAGUAUGUGAGUAUUCAUUUGAUCUUGAUUCCCUUUUUUUAUUCAUUACAAUAUACGGUACGUCUCUCUGUCACCACAUUUAGCAUUAACUCUAAGCAGUUAAUACUUAUUUACUGUUGUCACCUCAGUACAGAAGGACAUGUCUUGCCUUUAGCAUGGGUUUAACGCAAUUCAAAACUUAAUUGCUGAUCAUAGUGUUAAACGCAAAGAGAAUGGUUUUCUGAACGUUUUGUAAUAUUGACCUUGGGGACCUGCAUAAUGGACAUGCAUAUUGGCACAUCACAUUGAUCCAUAUUUGAUAUGUACAAGUUGUGCUUGUUUUGAUUGAAUUAAUUUAAUUGUAUUCUAUUUUUGUAGUUAUUCUAUGGUAACAUUGAGGGCUUUAUUUUAAAUGAGACUAAGAUUUCAUGACUCAACUUUUUAAGAAAAGUCAUCAGUGCUGAAGUUGAUAGACCACCUUUAAAUGAACCUCCAUACAAAUGAAUUAACUACAUAUUGCAUUUAAGUUAUUUACAUGAAGGGCAUCUGUACUUAAAACAUAUCAGGUGUUAAAAAAGGACAUCUUACAAGAGUCAUGCAAAAUGUCACAUAUACUGUUCUUCCACAAACUGAAAUCAUCACUGGAGAUAUACUGUUCUUCCACAAACUGAGAUCAUCACUGGAGAUAUACUGUUCUUCCACAAACUGAGAUCAUCACUGGAGAUAU